rnacentral:rRNA from 1 species
CAAAAAAGCUGCGCGAGGAGCCCCUCGACUGACCGUACCGCAAACCGACUCAGGUGGGCGGGGUGAGUAUCCCAAGGCGCGUGAGAGAACGCUGGUUAAGGAACUCGGCAAAUUAACACCGUAACUUCGGGAGAAGGUGUGCCCUUUGACGUGCAGGACUUUACGUCUGAAGCGUUGGGGGGUUGCAGAGAAACGGGGGUUGCGACUGUUUACUAAAAACACAGGACUCUGCGAACUCGCAAGAGGACGUAUAGGGUCUGACGCCUGCCCGGUGCUGGAAGGUUAAGGGGAGUUGUCAGCGUAAGCGAAGCAACGAACUGAAGCCCCAGUAAACGGCGGCCGUAACGAUAACGGUCCUAAGGUAGCGAAAUUCCUUGUCGGGUAAGUUCCGACCUGCACGAAUGGCGUAACGACAUCCCCACUGUCUCGACCAGCGACUCAGCGAAAUUGUAAUCGCGGUGAAGAUACCGUGUACCCGCGGCAAGACGGAAAGACCCCAUGAACCUUUACUGCAACUUGACAGUGAAGCUCGGGACAGACUGCGUAGGAUAGGUGGGAGGCUGUGAAGCCGGGAUUCUGGUCUCGGCUGAGCCAACCUUGAAAUACCACCCUGUUUGUUCUGGGCUUCUAACCCAGGCGUGUAAGCCACGCCGGGGACACUGUCUGGUGGGCAGUUUGACUGGGGCGGUCGCCUCCCAAAAAGUAACGGAGGCGCGCGACGGUUCCCUCAGGCUGAUUGGAAACCAGCCGUAGAGUGUAAUGGCAUAAGGGAGCUUGACUGUGAGACCGACAGGUCGAGCAGGUGCGAAAGCAGGUCAUAGUGAUCCGGCAGUUCUGUAUGGAAGGGCUGUCGCUCAUCGGACAAAAGGUACUCUGGGGAUAACAGGCUGAUCGCGCCUGAGAGUUCAUAUCGGCGGCGCGGUUUGGCACCUCGAUGUCGGCUCAUCGCAUCCUGGGGCUGGAGCAGGUCCCAAGGGUUUGGCUGUUCGCCAAUUAAAGCGGUACGCGAGCUGGGUUUAGAACGUCGUGAGACAGUUCGGUCCCUAUCUGCCGUGGGCGCAGGAUACUUGAGAGGGUCUAACCAUAGUACGAGAGGACCUGGUUGGACGUACCUCUGGUGAUCCGGUUGUUCCGCCUGGAGCAUCGCCGGGUAGCUAUGUACGGAAUGGAUAACCACUGAAAGCAUCUAAGUGGGAAGCCAGCCUCAAGAUGAGGUAUCCCGGGGCCUUGAGCCCCCUGAAGGCCCGUCGAAGACUACGACGUAAUAGGCUGGGUGUGGAAGCGCAGCAAUGUGUGGAGCUAACCAGUACUAAUCGGCCGUGAGGCUUGACCUC